rnacentral:misc_RNA from 1 species
AGGAGACGUAGGGUUUGAGACUUCGCGUCUCGUUACAAGUAUAAACGUGCCACACUGGCCACAUGAAUGAGAAAUAAGAGUGUGAGAUGCGUACUUAUGAGACUUAAACUGUUACCUUGCUUAAUAAAGAGUGAACAUGGCAUCUGGUGAUAUCGGAAGGAUCAAUUUAGACUCACUUGAACUAAGCCUUAUAGAUUCUGGCAUUCAGAGCAUGAAAGAUGUGCCACUCUCACCACACUUACAGUCUUUGAAUCUGCACAGCAACUACAUACAGCACAUUCAAGGACUGGAGCUGAUGCACAAUUUGAAGCAUCUGGACAUUUCUGCUAAUCAGAUUGACAAUAUCAGUGGCCUUGAAAGCCUCAUUUCACUGAAAACUCUUAAUUUAUCCUGUAACUUGAUAACUGUUGUGCAGGGAUUGUCAGCCUUAAGGUCUUUGGUUAAGCUGAAUCUGAGUUACAACCAGAUUGAAGAUAUAUCAGGGCUUCGAUCCCUUGCAGGUAGUGACUAUAAAUUAUCCCAGCUAGAGCUACACGGCAACCGUUUACGGAGUCUGACACACGUACAACACAGCUUAAGGCUAUGCAGCAAUCUUCGACACCUAAUUCUUAGCCAGGAUGGGUCAUCAAACCCUGUUUGCCACCAAGAAGGAUACCAGACAGAUCUAUUUACUGCAUUCCCUCAGCUUGAAACUCUAAAUGGUAUUGAUAGGCAAGGGCGUCGAACUCUACCUCCAGAGAUAGGAUCGAAUGUUCCAGAGCUAGAGGCAUACCUCGAUUUUCUUCUGUCAGGGGGAAGCACAAAUACCAGCACAGCAUCUGAAGGAACAAGGAGCACUGUGAAGACACCGAGAAUUGAUGAAGUCUUGGCCAAGUUCCGGCUUCAAGGCGCCACCUCGGCAGGACCCAGCAUCAGCAGCGCCGCCACGUCCGGCACCGAAGCUGAGAGUAGCCCGAGGUCAGCGGGUGCAACGCCCGGAAAACCGCAGGCAGCCAGCAGAAUGACGCAGGCAAGAUUUACGACCUUUGUCGCCGAUCAGUACGACCGCCUGUCGGAGCUUGAAGAAGAAGUGAAGAGGCUACAGCUCGCGCAGCACAAGGUAGGUCCUAGCGGCAGGACACCGCGGACCAACUCCUCAGCCUCCUCUAGUCGUCGAGAUGAUACAGAAGAGGAAGUGGAGCCUGUCAGAGAGAGGAACACAGCAGGAGACAAUGUUGCCAAGUCUCAGCAGAAACCCAACCUCGGCCAGGCGCAGCGAAAGCAGACACCCACCCCUGCAGUGACCCCCACUACGCUGAUAAAGGCUCAGACCAAGAGGGGAUCUGCCAGGAAACAAAGGUCAGUGCGUGAGCCGGGGAAAGCCGAUGGGAGACGGGAGCACGUGUCCAGUUCGUCACCCAACGUCACAAGAUGGCAGCGCCAGGGCUCGGGAAGACGAGAAACAGCGAGAAGACCUGCAAGCUACCUAUGUGCAACUGCUGAAGGAGCUGGAGACGGAGCGCGAGAGGCGGUGGAAAGCGGAGCACGCGGCCCGCCGGCUGGCCGACCAUAUCAAGGACGUGCAGGCCAAGCAGAACGAAGAGAACGAGCUGAAGAUCACAGCAGUAGCUGCAACAGGCAGACUGAAGGAGGUUCUGGUGAACGAGCGAGAUGCGAAAGUUCGACUUCAGGACCAGGUUACCGCCCUGCAGACGCAGGUAGCGGAGCUACAGGAGCAGCUGAGCAGAGCCCGCCAGGCGGAGGAUGCCAACAGGGCCGCGGUCCGCUCCUUGGAGGAGACGCUAGCCGGCCAGGAACGACAACGUCUGCAACAGCAGGCCCACGAGGCCAAGAAAAUUCAGGAAAGUGAGCUGCGCGCAGCAGCGCUGGCCAGGGAGCUGGAGAUCACACGGGGCAACAGCAAGGCUCAGAAAGGACAAAUACAGCAGCUACAGGAGCUACUAGCCACUCGAGAACAGCAACACAAGCAAGAGAUGGCAGAACGCUACCGACUGGACAGCAAAGAGCUGCGAGAGGUUCUUCAGAAGGAAGUUCAGCUUGUGGAGAAGAAACAUCGACAGGAGAUGACUUCUUGCCAGGAAAA